rnacentral:rRNA from 1 species
UACAGAGGUCCCAAGCGUUGUUCGGAUUCAUUGGGCGUAAAGGGUGCGUAGGCGGCGCGGUAAGUCGGGUGUGAAAUCUCGGGGCUUAACUCCGAAACUGCAUUCGAUACUGCCGUGCUUGAGGACUGGAGAGGAGACUGGAAUUUACGGUGUAGCGGUGAAAUGCGUAGAUAUCGUAAGGAAGACCAGUGGCGAAGGCGGGUCACUGGGCCGCAACUGACGCUGAGGAGCGAAAGCAUGGGGAGCGAACAGG